UAGCGUUAUGAUACGUUUGUUCCGGGAGUAAGUGUGUUCGUUUGGGGCAUGCAAGGAAUAGAACUUUCUGUUGUUGGCACUAUCAAAAUUUUUAGCGAUUUGUACGCGUUGUACGCCCUCGUACGCGCGCGUAUGCGCAUACAUAUGUGGCGAGGGCCUGAAAGCAACUGCAAGAGCAAGAAGAUUUUUGAGGAUCUCUUCCAGAUUUUCCCGCCCAGCCCUACAGAUGAGCAAUAAAAUUUCACUAUUGCAGAAUACCUUUCAUUUUAUUGUUUUCUGUAUCGUUAAUUGUUAUCGAUAAAUAUAUAGACAGCAGUGAAUUUCGGAUUUGACUCGACCAUGACAAAUUAUAAAGGCCAUUUUGAUGAAAAAGCCCAUCGAUUUAUCAAACAUUCACGUAAAGGUGGAAUACAUCAAAAUGUAAAGAAACAAAAAAAGCCCUGGACAAAAAUAGGUGAAUUUCAAGCAAAGAAAGCAAAGGAAUCGACUAAAAAAGUCAGUGUACACCAUAAAAAGCUUAUAGAUCUGUCGGAUUUCCGACCCAAACGUAUGCUUGAUUUCAACAUGAAUAAGAAGGAAAUAAUUAUGGAGGGCAAAUUCGUGGGAUAUGAAGGUCCUGCUAUUGUUAUUUUCGAAAAAAAAAUGUCCAAGCACUGGCCUUUGCUUGAAAUGGAAUUUUUUAACAAGAAAACUUUUACCAAGCAAGUUUCAAUUAAUGAUGUGUAUGGCGAUUACAUCUGCUUUCCCAGAGAUGAUAUGAGUGGAUGGAAAAUGAGAAUCAUACAUCCAGCUUCUCAAAAGCAUCUUGAUAAAUAUACCAAAAUCAUGGAAAAUGUCUACUUAGUCAAUGAAACGUAUGAGACCUACGAAAAAAUUACUCGGCCGUAUGUAGAAUCAGAAGCUUUAUCCGUUCAGUGGAUAAAUGACAUCUUGAAUGAUAAAGCCGAACGCGAUCAUAUCAUACACAACGAUGACGACGAAGAAAUAGGUUUCGUGAUGUUGCCAGACUUGAAAUGGAAUGGCUCGCUAGAGAACCUGAAUUUGAUAAUCAUAUCGAGAAAAAAUAUAACCUCACUUAGAGAUUUGAACGAGACCCAUUUACCAUUAUUGAAAAAUAUUAGAGAUGUCGGUACGUCCAUUAUGAAAAAUAUAUAUGACUUAGUACCAUCGCAAUUUAAAAUGACUGUACACUAUCAACCAACUUAUUAUCACUUCCAUGUACUUGUCUCGAAACUGAUGUUUAAAAGUCAAGGUGAAUACCAUACGCUUGUUAUUCUGUGAAUGCAUAUAUAAAUCUGCAAUCGCUAUACUGUUUAUAAGCUUUUCUGCGACUCAAAAUUUUAGGAAAGCCAUCUAUUGUACAAGAAAUAUCAAGAUAGUGGCAUCAUAAUUUCUAAUGAAGUGGAAGUGUCCGAAGAUUAAACGCUAUAAAUUUAUAUAAAACUAUAUGCAUGGAAACGUACUAUAGAUAAACUAGGGAAAAGAAUUUUCAAAAAAGUUUCAAAAAAGGUUUGUAAUACAACGAAUUGUGAUAAUGUAUAGAAUAGUUGCGUUUUAUAAAUUUUAUAAAUUUUAAAAAGAUAUAAUUUAAAAUAAAUCAUUUUAUAUUUUGUUCGCAAUGUGCAAUGUUAUUUUAC